rnacentral:rRNA from 1 species
AGAGUUUGAUCCUGGCUCAGGACGAACGCUGGCGGCGCGCCUAACACAUGCAAGUCGAACGAGCGAGAGAGAGCUUGCUUUCUCGAGCGAGUGGCGAACGGGUGAGUAACGCGUGAGGAACCUGCCUCAAAGAGGGGGACAACAGUUGGAAACGACUGCUAAUACCGCAUAAGCCCACGGCUCGGCAUCGAGCAGAGGGAAAAGGAGCAAUCCGCUUUGAGAUGGCCUCGCGUCCGAUUAGCUAGUUGGUGAGGUAAUGGCCCACCAAGGCGACGAUCGGUAGCCGGACUGAGAGGUUGAACGGCCACAUUGGGACUGAGACACGGCCCAGACUCCUACGGGAGGCAGCAGUGGGGAAUAUUGCACAAUGGGGGAAACCCUGAUGCAGCGACGCCGCGUGGAGGAAGAAGGUCUUCGGAUUGUAAACUCCUGUUGUUGAGGAAGAUAAUGACGGUACUCAACAAGGAAGUGACGGCUAACUACGUGCCAGCAGCCGCGGUAAAACGUAGGUCACAAGCGUUGUCCGGAAUUACUGGGUGUAAAGGGAGCGCAGGCGGGAAGACAAGUUGGAAGUGAAAUCCAUGGGCUCAACCCAUGAACUGCUUUCAAAACUGUUUUUCUUGAGUAGUGCAGAGGUAGGCGGAAUUCCCGGUGUAGCGGUGGAAUGCGUAGAUAUCGGGAGGAACACCAGUGGCGAAGGCGGCCUACUGGGCACCAACUGACGCUGAGGCUCGAAAGUGUGGGUAGCAAACAGGAUUAGAUACCCUGGUAGUCCACACCGUAAACGAUGAUUACUAGGUGUUGGAGGAUUGACCCCUUCAGUGCCGCAGUUAACACAAUAAGUAAUCCACCUGGGGAGUACGACCGCAAGGUUGAAACUCAAAGGAAUUGACGGGGGCCCGCACAAGCAGUGGAGUAU